rnacentral:rRNA from 1 species
GGAAUUUUGGACAAUGGGCGAAAGCCUGAUCCAGCAAUGCCGCGUGCAGGAUGAAGGCCUUCGGGUUGUAAACUGCUUUUGUACGGAACGAAAAGUCUCGGGAUAAUACCCUGGGACCAUGACGGUACCGUAAGAAUAAGCACCGGCUAACUACGUGCCAGCAGCCGCGGUAAUACGUAGGGUGCAAGCGUUAAUCGGAAUUACUGGGCGUAAAGCGUGCGCAGGCGGUUAUAUAAGACAGAUGUGAAAUCCCCGGGCUCAACCUGGGAACUGCAUUUGUGACUGUAUAGCUAGAGUACGGUAGAGGGGGAUGGAAUUCCGCGUGUAGCAGUGAAAUGCGUAGAUAUGCGGAGGAACACCGAUGGCGAAGGCAAUCCCCUGGACCUGUACUGACGCUCAUGCACGAAAGCGUGGGGAGCAAACAGGAUUAGAUACCCUGG